rnacentral:rRNA from 1 species
GAUGAACGCUGGCGGCGUGCCUAAUGCAUGCAAGUCGAGCGAACAGACGAGGAGCUUGCUCCUCUGACGUUAGCGGCGGACGGGUGAGUAACACGUGGAUAACCUACCUAUAAGACUGGGAUAACUUCGGGAAACCGGAGCUAAUACCGGAUAAUAUAUUGAACCGCAUGGUUCAAUAGUGAAAGACGGUUUUGCUGUCACUUAUAGAUGGAUCCGCGCCGCAUUAGCUAGUUGGUAAGGUAACGGCUUACCAAGGCAACGAUGCGUAGCCGACCUGAGAGGGUGAUCGGCCACACUGGAACUGAGACACGGUCCAGACUCCUACGGGAGGCAGCAGUAGGGAAUCUUCCGCAAUGGGCGAAAGCCUGACGGAGCAACGCCGCGUGAGUGAUGAAGGUCUUCGGAUCGUAAAACUCUGUUAAUAGGGAAGAACAAAUGUGUAAGUAACUAUGCACGUCUUGACGGUACCUAAUCAGAAAGCCACGGCUAACUACGUG